AGCGACUUAUUUCCUUAAAACUGUCCUCCCAUCCACAGAGCCAGCCAGUCUGCCAUCAGUCUCAAGCGGGCCUGUACGCCGAAAUUUACCAAGAAUAUUUACAGGUGGGUUCCCACCGGGGACACACCAGACAAGAAGGAACUCAACUGGAGUGCACAUAGUGAGAGAUGAUGGAUAAAAUGAGAACACACACAAAAAACAUGCCGGUUUUCUUGGCAGCGACAAACACAGAGACUUUUACUAAUGCUCCGGUUUUUGCAACACGAGGAACAUAAAAUUGAAUUCUUCGAAACAAGAAGAUUUCGAUCGGAAGAAGCAGCUGUACGGAUCGUAAACAUGGAUUUCUGAGACCUGAUGUCAUUACAGAAAAAGUUUUGCUGGAAGUCUUGAAAGGAAGAAGCUGCAACAAACUCAGGAGUUUGCCAAUAAACAAACGGAUGCAAUUAAACACAGUCGCCUUCAGAUCGUCUACAAGGAGACAAGGUCAAGAUGAGUAAGGAGCUGAGGAGGACAAAUAAGACGAGGAAGACUCAAGGUUAACGCUAACUGAGUGAACUGAAGUGUGGAAAGUGGUUGUUUUUACAGUCUGGAUAAUUUUUUAACAAACAAACAUCCUUCAGUAUUUUUUACAUCACAUGUGCACAUUUUAAUACUCUUAAUUGAUGUUUUAUAUUUGAGUGUUUGUUUAGAAAUUAAGCCAGUUUGGCUGAUUGUCACAUUUGUGUAUAUUCUGACAUGUAACCAAAGAUUAUUGUGCAAAUAAAAAACACUUUUCUUGACAAUCUUAUCAGAGCUCCGCUCUGUUCUCCCUCUCCCUUCACCUUGGCAUGAGUAGCCUUCUUCUGUGUGUGCUGAGGUGCCUGCAUGGCGUGGUAAAACCUGCCCUGCAGACCGGACCUCUCAAGUCUUCAAAGGAGGACGAACUCAAUGUGGGGGAUUUGUUCAGGCUUAUUUGGUAACCUAGGAUUUGAAUUGGAUUCUUGGAGGCAUUCAUAACACAUUUGAAAAUGUUACAUUGUAUGAUUUUCUGUGUAAUCCCCAUAAUAAAUUCCAGAA